GGAUGUGAGGGUGAUUUGGCUGCCACAUCUGUCACCCCACUGAUGGCCAGGGUUGACUAGGCUGAUCUGGCUGGCUAGGCAAAUGUCCCCUUCCUCCCUCACCACUCCCUGUGUGUCCCUCUGAAGCUCAGUCAAAAAGAAAAAAUAGAGGAGGACUGGUCUUCAGUCUAGGGUGAGAGUAGCUGCAUUCCUCUGCUAGAGUCCCUAAAAAGCUCUCAGAUGUCAAACAGAAAACAACAAAAACUGGAUGA
rnacentral:snRNA from 1 species